GCAAAUUGGCUUCCAAGGGCUCCUCUCCUUUAAAUCCUCUUCCUCCCCAAAGAGGAAGAUUGGUCUCCUCCCUGCCUCUCUGGAAACGGACUGAGCACUGCAGGCCGGGCAUUCCGUGAACAAAGAGUCAGCAGCAGUGACUUGUCAUGGAAUCAACAGGCAUAUCCAGGAAGAGCCUGUGAGAUGGGAAGACAAGAGGUUGGAGCCUGGGGGACACUGGGCCCAAAGAAAAUGGAUAGAUGGAUCCAAAAUUGAGGCUUUGUUGACUGGCUGUGCCAUUACAUCAAAGGAGGAAAGAGAUUGUAUCUGAUGAUGACCAUAUCCUGAAAACCAAGAGGGCUGAAGGCCAUUAGCUGGGGAGACCAAAGGCCAGAUGCCUUGGGCAACAAUUUGCUCAGCAUAUCUCUUCCUAAAUUCCAAGACAGGCUGCUUGCUCUGCUCAGUCAAGACUGCCAACCCAAGAAACAUUUUCGAAAGAUCACAAUCAACAUCAUUGCCAAAAGAAGAAGUUCUUGGCACACAAAAGACCUGGUUCAAUAUGAGAUGCCAGAUGGUGAUUUCAACUUCAGCUAAAUUCCUGCUGAAAAAAGUGUUUGAACUGCAGAUGAGAAAAGCUUCUAUGACAAAUUUCCAAGCGUUAGAAGCUUCAGAGGGAGAUGGCAAGUGUUGAUACACCCCCCCCACCACCAAGCACAUGCACACACCACAGACUUACUACCUGCAGCUGGUAAUUAAGAUUCCCACAAAGAUGCCUCUGCUUUUUACGAAGACUGAGCCCUGACUUGAUUUUUACGAAUAUCAAAGUGUAUUUACUGAGCCCAUUGAAAGUAAAACCUAGUUGAUUACAUGUAGUGUUUUUCAAAGCAUCUGCUUUCAUUAGCAUCUGCUCUAAGUUUUUUUUAGUAUCUGGAGUAUCUUAUUCCUCUCUACCAAUAACUCCAUUAUUAAGCCAAUUAAUAAUAAGCAUGUCUUCCCUCCCUAACUUUCUUUCUUUCUCUCCCUAACUAAUUUCAGAUUACAGGGAAUAUACAUGAAGUAUAAAUUGAUGGUGCUCUGUCUGGACACUCUUGGGUCCCUGACU